GGGAAUGUGGCUUAGUGGUAGAGUACAUGCCUAGGAUGCAUGAAACCCUGGGUUCGAUUCCUCAGUACCA
rnacentral:tRNA from 1 species